UACGAAGGGUGCAAGCGUUGUUCGGAAUUAUUGGGCGUAAAGAGUACGUAGGCGGCUUAGUAAGUUGACUGUGAAAGCCCCAGGCUCAACCUGGGAAUUGCAGCCAAAACUGCUUCGCUAGAGUUUGGUAGGGGAUAAUGGAAUUCCUAGUGUAGGGGUGAAAUCCGUAGAUAUUAGGAGGAAUAUCGGUGGCGAAGGCGAUUAUCUGGGCCAAUACUGACGCUGAGGUACGAAGGCGUGGGGAGCAAACAGG
rnacentral:rRNA from 1 species